GGCGUCAUGGUUGAGUGGUAAGGACACUUGCCUCUCAUCCUGGAAUCCCGAGUUCGAUCUUCGGACGAGGAGCCA
rnacentral:tRNA from 1 species